CGCGCCGCGUCUAUUUGCCGCAUCGCCGCCGUGUAGUCACAACUCUUGUAAACGCGAUCUCACGCGAACAAAAUUGUGAAAGUGUUGCAUAUAAAACGCGAUUUCUCGACAGCGAGAGUACCGCGCCUACGGCAUUUUAAACAAAUAGUGUUGGUGGGAGUGUGAAUUGGAAUUGUGAACUUGGUAGAGGGUUCAAUGGAAGCGAGGUUCGUGACCUGCCGGAGCUUCCAGCAGAUCAAGCCGCCUGAGAAGAGCCUAGCGCCUCCGCCGACGGUGAAGGGGCUGCUGUCUCGUUUCGGAAGCCAGGCACAAGCUCUCUUCGCGCCGAAGAAACCCCGCUUCGGAUCUUCGGUAGCGAUCCACAAGCUCCGUGAAACCAAGUGGUUUAAACAUGAGGAGCAGAACAUCUUGUGUGCAGUUCUGGAGACCGGAUUCAUCCUCGAAGUGCGAGCGGAGGACCCGCUACCACCGGACUCCUGUCUUUCUCCAGACUACCAUAUGUACGCCAUCGCCAUGUGGAAGAAGGGUAAAGAAAAAACAAAAAACCCGGAACAGAUAGAGGUGUUCACGGUCCAACAGAAAGGUGUAAGAAAACGUGUCGUGAAGACAACCCUGGGUGCAUUCUGGAAGAAGGACUCAGUGAUCCGCAUCAACAAUGUGGACGACAAACAGGAAUCGCCGAACAGUGAAAAGGAUAUUAGAGCUAAGCUGGAGAUGGCCACUAAAUCCAGGUUCGAGAGGAACUGGCAUAAUACCCUGCACUUCGUCCACUGGUGCCGGUACGGGGAGACACCUCAAGAAGCUCGCAUGAGACAGAUCAGCUUAACGACGUCGAAAACACCCAUGAUUAUCAUCUUUUGAUGGUAAUCGUUGAGGCGCUUUGGACUCUCAGCUGGCAACCUUAACACACCGAUAAGCGAGUCGCUCAAAUGGGGUAACAUCGGAAUGAACAUGGGCGUUCUGCUCGUCAGCCAAAACAACGGCCGGGCCAAGGCGAAGUCGGUCUGAGUGCCGGCCGCCAGCGACACCGCUGGCAACACUUGCUUCUGCUUCUGGCCGCCGAGAAACAUUGACCAUGUUUAAAUUAGGAACGCAGCUCAAUUCGAUUCCUUUUUUGGAUUUUAAGUUUUUAAACGGUGUCUAAAAUCGGAACGAAGCCUUGGAGCUCUCAGUUUGGUUCCUUUUGUUGAUGUUUUUAUUAAUGGCGGGAAACAUCGUCUGUGUUUAAAAUCGGAACGGAGCAAUAGAACUAUCGAUUCGUUUAGUUCCUUUUUGAACUUUAAAUCUUCAGUUUUCAAGCUCUUUUUGCAGUUCCUUUUU